CUCUCUCUCUCUCUCUCAACUCCUCGCCUAACCAGUCCACCAACUCUCUCUUAGCCUAAAGCCCUAAACUUCCCCCCUCCAAAUCCAACAUGACUAAAAUGUCGAAGGAGUGUGAUGGUCCCGUCGAUGGCGCUGAUAGACGGAGCUCUCUCCCAGAAGCUAUUCUGGUGGACAUACUGUCACUGCUUCCACUUAAAACAGCCACCAAAACCUCCAUCUUGGCCCAAAGUUGGAAACACCUUUGGGCCUCACAUCGCCACCUAAUCUUUCGAUGUUCCUCCCAAUUUUAAAUACCGUCUUUUAUUGCUAAAAUAGACAUAUUUUUCCGACAAAGAACCUCUAAAUUAGAAACCUUCAGUAUAGAUCUUCCCUGCGCAGCGCUAGGCAACGUUGAUGACAUCGAAUUAUUGAAACCGAAAAUUACUGAGUAGAUUUGUCUAGCGUAUUCUCAUAAUGUGUCUACUCUGAAGAUGAUGUGCUAGUAUGUGUAGGCGGUCCGAAAUUGAAGGUACUGGAUAUAUCUUUGUAUGGGUCAUCUAGGGCAACUGUGUUGACUAUCAACGCUCCAAUCCUGAAAUCAAUACGUGUAUAUGGUACUCUUGCAGUGUAUUCUUUCCGUACUCAUCCAAGUGAAUUACAAAGGGCCAAUAAGAUACGAUGGAAAAACAUACAAAAGCCGGCGAAUGUAUGAAUUUCUGAAAGGAAUUUCAGAUGUUCAUACACUAGACUUAAGUUAUGACCUUGAUGUAAUGAAUAUCUUUAGUUAUAGUGGACGUGGUGAUAGCAUUUGGUCGAUGUUCCGUAAUUUGCAUAAUCUAGGUUUGGAUUUUACAUGUGGAAGCUGCAUUGUACCUCAAUGUGUGUUGAGUCGGUUGGAGAGGUUAAGAUUGUGGGCAAUGAAUGGGGAUAACAAUGAUCAUCUGAAGUGUGUUGAAAACAUUCUUCAAAAUGUGCUUGUUUUGUAGUUAAUCGAUGUUACUCCUGGUCUAAUAGAGGGAGAUGUUAAUGAUCACAGUGAGAGUAUUCAAUUAUGGCAAUAAUUCAAAUUGUGUAGGAAAUUGUUUCACUUUCGGAAGGCCUCACCAAAUUGUGAAGUAUUGUUCCACAGGGUGUAUUUUCAUAACAAAGAGCUUGGUUCAAAUCACCCUCGAAUUAAUUAUGCACCGUUGAGUGCUUGAACGGGCGGGCAGAUGAAGUGGACAAUGCAUUAACCACUCCCGAUUUCGGUUGUAUAACGUUGUUUUGAAAUUUAAAAAUGAUCUACUUUCGUAUAUCUUUGGUAGGCUUGUAGCUACUACAAAUUAGCACUGGUUAGACAAAUGAUCCAUCAUUUACCACUUGUGUUGUAGUACUCGUUGCAAUUUUCCUUUUAUGAUAUACAAGGAUGUUACUGUUGUAUGAUCUUAAUACGUACUUAACUUAACUAAAGCCUUGUUUGGUACCAUUUUUA